rnacentral:rRNA from 1 species
UACGGAGGGGGCUAGCGUUGUUCGGAAUUACUGGGCGUAAAGCGCACGUAGGCGGCUUUGCAAGUUAGAGGUGAAAGCCUGGAGCUCAACUCCAGAAUUGCCUUUAAGACUGCCGAGCUAGCAGGUGAGAGAGGUGAGUGGAAUUCCGAGUGUAGAGGUGAAAUUCGUAGAUAUUCGGAAGAACACCAGUGGCGAAGGCGGCUCACUGGCUCAUACUGGACGCUGAGGUGCGAAAGCGUGGGGAGCAAACAGG